ACCGGCGCACGGGUGAGUAACGCGGUAUCCAACCUGCCCUUGUCCAUCGGAUAACCCGUCGAAAGGCGGACUAACACGAUAUGCAGUUCACAGCAGGCAUCUAACGUGAACGAAAUGUGAAGGAGAAGGAUGGGGAUGCGUCUGAUUAGCUUGUUGGCGGGGUAACGGCCCACCAAGGCGACGAUCAGUAGGGGUUCUGAGAGGAAGGUCCCCCACAUUGGAACUGAGACACGGUCCAAACUCCUACGGGAGGCAGCAGUGAGGAAUAUUGGACAAUGGGCGAGAGCCUGAACCAGCCAAGUAGCGUGCAGGAAGACGGCCCUAUGGGUUGUAAACUGCUUUUAUACGGGGAUAAAGUGGGCCACGUGUGGCUUAUUGCAGGUACCGUAUGAAUAAGGACCGGCUAAUUCCGUGCCAGCAGCCGCGGUAAUACGGAAGGUCCGGGCGUUAUCCGGAUUUAUUGGGUUUAAAGGGAGCGUAGGCCGUCUGUUAAGCGUGUUGUGAAAUGUCGGGGCUCAACCUGGGCAUUGCAGCGCGAACUGGCAGACUUGAGUGCACGGGAAGUAAGCGGAAUUCGUCGUGUAGCGGUGAAAUGCUUAGAUAUGACGAAGAACUCCGAUUGCGAAGGCAGCCUGCUGUAGUGCAACUGACGCUGAAGCUCGAAAGCGUGGGUAUCGAACAGGAUUAGAUACCCUGGUAGUCCACGCGGUAAACGAUGGAUGCUCGCUGUUUGCGUCUGACGUAAGCGGCCAAGCGAAAGCGUUAAGCAUCCCACCUGGGGAGUACGCCGGCAACGGUGAAACUCAAAGGAA
rnacentral:rRNA from 1 species